UACGGAGGGUGCGAGCGUUGUCCGGAAUCACUGGGCGUAAAGGGCGCGUAGGCGGCGCGGAUAGUCGGCGGUGAAAGCCCGGAGCUCAACUCCGGGUCGGCCGUCGAUACUUCCGGGCUUGAGCACUGUAGAGGCAGAUGGAAUUCCGGGUGUAGCGGUGGAAUGCGUAGAGAUCCGGAAGAACACCGGUGGCGAAGGCGGUCUGCUGGGCAGUUGCUGACGC
rnacentral:rRNA from 1 species